rnacentral:rRNA from 1 species
UACGGAGGGAGCUAGCGUUGUUCGGAAUUACUGGGCGUAAAGCGCACGUAGGCGGCUUUGUAAGUCAGAGGUGAAAGCCUGGAGCUCAACUCCAGAACUGCCUUUGAGACUGCAUCGCUUGAAUCCAGGAGAGGUGAGUGGAAUUCCGAGUGUAGAGGUGAAAUUCGUAGAUAUUACGGAAGAACACCAGUGGCGAAGGCGGCUCACUGGACUGGUAUUGACGCUGAGGUGCGAAAGCGUGGGGAGCGAACAGG